rnacentral:rRNA from 1 species
GUGCACCAGGCGCGAAUAUUCGGCAAUGGGCGAAAGCCUGACCGAGCGACGCCGCGUGCGGGAUGAAGGCCUUCGGGUUGUAAACCGCUUUUCUAAGGGAAAAAUUGUGUCUCACUGUUGUUGGAGAAAAAUAAUAAGAAUAAGAUGGAUGGCCGUAGAGUUCCGUGACUUCCGCAGGUUUUCAUAAAAAUACCAAAUUACAGUGAGGCACAAAUUGAAGGUACCUUAGGAAUAAGAGGUUGCUAACUCCGUGCCAGCAGCAGCGGUAAUACGGAGACCUCAAGCGUUAUCCGGAUUUAUGGGCGUAAAGGGUGUGUAGGCGGAUGUGAUAGUCAGAUGUUAAAAUUAUGGAGCUC